AGAGUUUGAUCCUGGCUCAGAGCGAACGCUGGCGGCAGGCUUAACACAUGCAAGUCGAGCGGGCGUAGCAAUACGUCAGCGGCAGACGGGUGAGUAACGCGUGGGAACGUACCUUUUGGUUCGGAACAACCCAGGGAAACUUGGACUAAUACCGGAUAAGCCCUUACGGGGAAAGAUUUAUCGCCGAAAGAUCGGCCCGCGUCUGAUUAGCUAGUUGGUGAGGUAACGGCUCACCAAGGCGACGAUCAGUAGCUGGUCUGAGAGGAUGAUCAGCCACAUUGGGACUGAGACACGGCCCAAACUCCUACGGGAGGCAGCAGUGGGGAAUAUUGGACAAUGGGCGCAAGCCUGAUCCAGCCAUGCCGCGUGAGUGAUGAAGGCCCUAGGGUUGUAAAGCUCUUUUGUGCGGGAAGAUAAUGACGGUACCGCAAGAAUAAGCCCCGGCUAACUUCGUGCCAGCAGCCGCGG
rnacentral:rRNA from 1 species